UACGGAGGGGGCUAGCGUUGUCCGGAGUGACUGGGCGUAAAGCGCGCGCAGGCGGCCCGCGAGGUGUCACGUGAAAGCCCCGGGCUCAACCCGGGAGGGUCGUGGCAAACCGGCGGGCUUGAGGCCGGUAGAGGUGGGUGGAACUCCUGGUGGAGUGGUGAAAUGCGUAGAGAUCAGGAAGAACACCCGUGGCGAAGGCGGCCCACUGGGCCGGACCUGACGCUGAGGCGCGAAGGCGUGGGGAGCGAACGGG
rnacentral:rRNA from 1 species